AAGGUUGCCCGAGUGGUCUAAGGGGUUUGACUUGAAAUCAAAUGUCGCAAGACUCGUCGGUUCAAAUCCGGCACCU
rnacentral:tRNA from 1 species